rnacentral:tRNA from 1 species
ACGGGUAUGAUGAAAUUGGUAAACAUGCUGGAUUUAGGUUCCAGUGCCGUGAGGCUUGUGGGUUCGAGUCCCACUACCCGUACCA